rnacentral:rRNA from 1 species
AACGAACGCUGGCGGCAUGCCUAACACAUGCAAGUCGAACGAACCCUUCGGGGUUAGUGGCGCACGGGUGCGUAACGCGUGGGAAUCUGCCCUUUGGUUCGGAAUAACAGUUAGAAAUGACUGCUAAUACCGGAUGAUGACUUCGGUCCAAAGAUUUAUCGCCAGAGGAUGAGCCCGCGUAGGAUUAGGUAGUUGGUGGGGUAAAGGCCUACCAAGCCGACGAUCCUUAGCUGGUCUGAGAGGAUGAUCAGCCACACUGGGACUGAGACACGGCCCAGACUCCUACGGGAGGCAGCAGUGGGGAAUAUUGGACAAUGGGCGCAAGCCUGAUCCAGCAAUGCCGCGUGAGUGAUGAAGGCCUUCGGGUCGUAAAGCUCUUUUACCCGGGAUGAUAAUGACAGUACCGGGAGAAUAAGCUCCGGCUAACUCCGUGCCAGCCGCCGCCGUAA